rnacentral:lncRNA from 1 species
GCUCUAAAACAAUACACAUCCUUAAAUUAUCAAAUUUUAUUUGGAGGCACUAUUGCAGCAUUUCAUGCUUCCCCGUUCACAGCUGACACUGUCCAUUUUCCACUUCAAAUUUCACAACUUCCCCUUACUCAGAGCAGCGUAAUUCCAUUUUCCUGUCCUCUCUACUCUCGGCUUCUUAUGCUAUGGUUUUCAUGUAUUUUACUUCUGUAUCCUUUAUAAACUUCACUCUAAAGUGUUAUGAUUUUUGUCUUAAACGGCCAAUCGUCUUCCAAGGAAAUUGUGAGAAGAGGAAACAAUCUAUAUUUACCUAUUUAUUUUCUGGUGUUCUUAUUUCUAUAAAUUCCCAUAAAUUCACAUUUUCAUUCUGUCUGAUCUAAAGAACCUCUUUUAACAGUUGCUAUAGUGAAGGUCCACUGGUGACAAAUUCUGUCUUUAUUUUGCUGACAUUCUUGAAAGACAUUUCACCGCAUAGGAAAUUCUGGAAAGACUGACUUUUAUCUUCCACAUUGAAAGGUGUUCUUCCACCGUUUUUCCGGAGCUUCUUUAUAUUUGAUAGGAAGAUGGUCAUCAUUUUAUCAUUGUCCUCUCCCCAGACCUGCUGACUUGUUUGUCUGCUUUUGAAGUUUUCUCUUUAUUGUUGGUUUUCAGCAACUUUACUAUGAUGUGCAUUGCUGUGGUUUUCUGUGUAUUAGCCGAGCUUUCUUAAUCUCUAGUGUGAUGUUUUUCACCAAGUUUGGGAUUUUUCCAGCUAUUAUUUCUUCCAAUGUUUUUUCUGCAGUGUUUUCUCUCUCUUCUAGGAGACUCGUUGCAUGUGAGACUGUUCAUUCUUCUUCAUUUUUUUUUUUCACUCAUCUUCAAAUUGGAUAAAUUCUAAUGCUCUGUCUUCAAGUUUGUACACUUUUUCUUCCGCCCUCUUCUAUUUGAUGGUGAAGCCCACACAUUACAUUUUUUAAUUCCACCUGUUUGGUUUUCAGUUCUAGAAAGCUUCCAUCUGUUUUUUCUCCAGCUUGUUUUUCUCUGCUCAGAUUCCCUGUCUGUCAACUCAUGAAGAUCAUGUUUUCCUGUCAUUCUUUUUAUGGAAAAGUUAUUAUUUUUCUAUAACGUAUUUUGAUAGCAGCAUGGGAUCACAUUACAUAGAUAUUUGGUAAUUUAAUCAUCUAUUACUGGCUGUUUAGGAUGUGUUUAAUCUUCCACUGUUAUAAACUGCACCAUAGUGUGCCUCCUUAGACAUAAAUCCAUACUACCAUCUAUAAUUAUUUCCUUAAAUACCUGGAAAUGGAAUUAAUAAGUACACACAUUUUUGAGGCUUUUGAUACCAAAUGUCCCCUAAACAGUUGUGUAUUACAUUUGGAUUAAAGACUUAAAUGUUAAGAUCUAAAACCACAAAGUUCCUGGAAGAAACCACAAUCAGUGCACUCUUUGACACUGGUCUUAGCCAUACGUUUUUGGGUUGUGGUUGUUUGGGCUUUUAAAAUAAUUCAAUGAAUUUUAUUGUAUUUAUAGUUGCACAACCUAAUUUUAAGACAUUUCUUUAAAUAUAUUUUCCUUUGGCUUUUAAAACAUACUUACAAUAACUGCUUUAUCGUCUUUUUCAGAUAAAGCCAAUGUUUGGCUAUCUUGAGUCUGUUUCUUUAGGUGCUUAAUUGAUUUUCUUCUCGGUUAUGGUCACAUUUCCCUGUUCGAUUUGGCCAUUAAUGAAGACACAUCAUAUAGACUCUGUGUUCUGUUACCUUCUUCUGAAGAGUGCUUGGUAAUCGCCUUGCACUUAUGUCGAUUUGUUCUUUGUUAUUUUUCCCUUGUUUUCAUUUUUAUUUUGGCCCAGGCUCUCUAAUGUGGUGAGAGAGUGCUUUCUAAACUCUAUCUUCUGCAGAUCUUGUCAGAGGCUUCAGGGAAGAUUUAGAUAGACCUUUACCUAAGGAAAUGGACUUUAUUCCUUCACUCCUGUUAGCUGAGUGGCCAGAGGUGCUGACAGUGUUUGCACACACGGGGCCCAGUCCCCUAGCACUGUUCCACUUCUAGUAUCUCUGCUCCUUUCUCAGCCCACAGCCCAGACCCCUACCAGCUUCUCAUGGAGCCCAUACAGGGACCCCUGGAUGCCCCGCUGCACGGCUCCCUCCUCCCCAUCCUCUGCUCCAAGUGUGGGGGCUCCCCCAAAUCCUGACCUUUGCCUUCUUAGCCCACUGGGAUCGCCAUGCUCCGCUGGACUCCAGUUUUCUCUGCCAGGUGGGAGCUUUGACCAGGACAACCACGGGCGCACUCGUCAGGUCCCCCCAAGUGGGGUGACAGACUUGCACUGCCUGAUGUCCACGCCUGAUUACAGCUGUCUCACGAAUGUUGCCCAGUGUUAUGCCUCUUUAAUAUGGGGAGGGGGUAAGUCCAGCACCAGUCAUUCUGCCAUAGCUGGAAGCAGAAGACCCCCGGGUGUCCUUGAAAUCAGCUCCUUUUUGCCCAGCUCAGCCAGAGCAGGGUAUGGCUGCUGGCAACCAGGAACCCUGCCUGAGCCACGGAAUGAUACAUCUCAACAGCUGCUUGCGGGUUCCACGGCACCAUCUCCCGUGGUGCCCCUCAGGCCAAUAACAUCACUAGGAUACAGCUCAGCAGAGGAAGUUUCCUGCAGGGGACAAAGGAGAGAUUAGACACAAGCCACAAGCAAGCUCUUGUUGCUCUGGCUCCGUCUAAGGAGAAUUUUCAACUCACCUAGAGCAAGAUUCCAACCUGCAGGUUUCCGAGGGGACUUGAGAGUCACUGCAAGGGGUCACCAACCUGGGCGACUCCCAGAAGCGGCCAGAGACUAAACCACAGACUGUUUUCAAGUGUGCAUCGAUGCUGCUGCAGUUUAUAAAAUAAGACUCUAUCUUAAAACUGUAAACAAAUGCGUGGUACUUUUAUUUACGCUUUUCUUCCAAUCAGUAAGUAUUUAAAGGUAAGCAAUGAAAUUGUUAGGGAGGGGGGCUCUGAAAGUUUUUGCGAUGAUGAGGGGGCUCAUUUUGUACAACAUCAGGAUGCCCUGGUCCAGACAAGCAGGUGCCCUGCACCUCCAGCCAUCACCACGCCCUCCCUGGCUCUGUUUUUAUCAGCUGUUGGUCCAUAUCAGCUCAGGUCUCACUGAACACAAGACCCAAGACCAGGCUCCCAGAAAGAGACAGAGGGCAGGUUUCGGGCUGCCGGCCAAACAGCAGUGGGCGCCUUUAGCAGCAGUUGAGCUGAGGGUUACCGCAAGUGUCUCCCCAAGGAAACUGAAGACCGUGUUCAGAAGCUCUGCACAAAGACGCUCUUCCACCUCUCCUCAGAGGGCAGCGCAAAGAGCACUGAGCCCCACACUGAGCCCUGGCUGUGACCUCCAGCUGCCCCAUCUGAGUCUUCAGGUCCAACCAUCGGCAUGGCUGGCAAUGCACGCAGCGCGAUUAAAGGAAAUGAGGGCUUUUCUGUGAGACGGUGUGAUGCCUGCGUUCUCCUUGGCCUCGGCCGUGUUCCACUCUGCAGACCCGGAGAGCCGGGGCAGGUGGGGGCGACGGAACCCAUAGCGCCCUCGCGGGAGGGGACAGGGGCCGGCAGCAGAGACGCUGAAGGGCAAGGCGCGGGCAGGCCUGCUCACGGUGGACGGAACCGAGGCCCAAAGGGCAGAAAGGGUUUGGUUUAAACUGAUGUCUUGUUUUCAGGCAGGAAAGAGGGAAAAGAACAGACACAAACAGAGCCUGAAAGAGAGACGGGCAAGAGGAAGGGCGGGAGAGAGGGCAGCGGAGCCGUGAAGCAGGCGGGCAAAGCGGGGAGCGGGGAGGAGGAGGACGAGCGGCGGCGGCAGCCAGCCUGGGCCCCAGAUCUGGUCCCAGGUCCAAGGUCUGCACCGUCUGCACCAUCGCCGUCACCCGGAGGGGGCGCGUCCCGCCCUGCGCUGGGUUCCCCCGACUGUCCGGAGACCGCCCACCAGGUGC